UACGAAGGGGGCUAGCGUUGUUCGGAUUCAUUGGGCGUAAAGGGUGCGUAGGUGGCAUGGUAAGUCGGAUGUGAAAUCCCGGGGCUCAACCCCGGAACUGCAUUCGAUACUGCUGCGCUAGAGUACUGGAGAGGAGAUUGGAAUUUACGGUGUAGCAGUGAAAUGCGUAGAUAUCGUAAGGAGGACCAGUGGCGAAGGCGGAUCUCUGGACAGUUACUGACACUGAGGCACGAAGGCCAGGGGAGCAAACGGG
rnacentral:rRNA from 1 species